GUGGAUCAGAUAUGCUCUGGCUGCUUUACAGUGUUCCACAUGUAGUUUGGGUUAAUGACAGCUUUGUAUCACCAGGACAGUGCAUAGCAUCCCAAGUAUACAGGUGAAUGUGGCCUGCUAAAUAUACUGUAUUUCUUGGUACCUGGAGGAGAUCACUGUUCUUCAAACCAGAAUGCUCUUUGUGAUCUUGAAUCCUCUUUGAUUUUAAGCAUUGGCGUCAGUACAGGAAAGGCAUCCUUAAGCCAAGUUAUCCCACUCAUCCAACUGUUAAAAUUCCCCAGAGGAAAUGAGGGAAAACCCAGACUUCAGGAAAGACUGAAGCUUUGUAUUAGGGAUGUACUAAUAAUUGACUUACUCUGCCCCUUUGACCGUUUCCAUGUUAACUUUCAUUUGUUUUCUGAUCCUAAGGCUACAAUGCUUAUAGGCCUAAGCAGUAGAGCUUAUGUGGCUCAUGUAUGGAUAAGCAUUUGAUCUUUGGAGAAGGGAUAUUAACUUAACUGAACCGCUGGGCCUUUUCAUAUUCAGGUAUCUCUGAUCAACACCGUAUCAGAAGAAAAUUAUUUGGAAGGGACAUGAAGCAACUUGCUUUGCUAUUUCAGGAGAUCAGCUUUAAAAUGUGAGUUACAUCAGGCAUCUCAACUUGCUCUGGUCCUACAAAAGGCUCCAGAGAGGGAGAAAAUAAUGAGGAAGAGAACUCUGUGGGAAGGAUUGACUGGAGCAUACAUGCAACUGAAUUAAACCACAUUAGUUAGUAAACAGAUCCCAAAGGAGGUGUGUGUAUGUGUGCCUAUAGAUGUCAAGAAAACAGAGGAGAGACUACAGAAAAGAGAACUUAUUUGUGCCUAUUCCAAGAAAUUAAUGUGACAUGAGUUCACCACUCAUGAUGCAUCAGAGAAUUCAUGUGGGUGACAGAAACUGUGAACGAAGGCUCCUCCUGCGUGGAAAGCUUCAAGCAAAACUCACACCUUAUUAGACAUCAGAGAACCCAACCACAAGACACAAUUCCUCGCACACCAGGCUCUAUUGGCUCCGCUGUUCACAGCCCUACUCAUUUAUUUUUGCUCCCAACGCCUUGAUAAGAUCUGGUGGUGCAGUGUAAGCUCUAUGCGGCAGAUAAGUGGAAAGAAACCAGGUGAUUGGAGUAUUUUCUGUUCCUGAGUAACAAAACAGUAAUUCCUGCUGAGAUGUCAGAAUUGUUAACACUAUCUGUCAGGCUGGCACUGCAACAGUUUAGCAGAGAUCAUGACAGCACCUCCUGCCUUUGCUUUCAGCUAUUUGUAACCUGUCUGUAUCAGAUUUGCAGCGCUGGUUCUCUUGCUUUAAUUUUGAAAUCAAAAUAAACUCUUUAUGAGAGGAAAUUUCAUGAAGAAGUGAAUCAGGUUGAUCAUGGGUACCAAUAUAUUACUUUUGGUUAGCAGAGAAGGGAACUAUUUCAAUGACAUCUGUCUGUGCCAACAGCCAAAAAUUAUGUUGACUCUUUCUUGUGGCCCAUACUGUUACAAAAACAUG
ensembl:lncRNA